rnacentral:rRNA from 1 species
UACAGAGGGGGCAAGCGUUAUUCGGAAUUAUUGGGCGUAAAGGGCGCGUAGGCGGCCUGGCAAGUGGAAGGUGAAAUCCCUCGGCUUAACCGAGGAACUGCCUCCCAAACUGCUUGGCUUGAGACCGGGAGAGGUGAGUGGAAUUCCCAGUGUAGCGGUGAAAUGCGUAGAUAUUGGGAGGAACACCAGUGGCGAAGGCGGCUCACUGGACCGGUACUGACGCUGAUGCGCGAAAGCAUGGGGAGCGAACAGG